rnacentral:rRNA from 1 species
GUGUACCCGCGGCAAGACGGAAAGACCCCGUGAACCUUUACUAUAGCUUGACACUGAACAUUGAGCCUUGAUGUGUAGGAUAGGUGGGAGGCUUUGAAGUGUGGACGCCAGUCUGCAUGGAGCCGACCUUGAAAUACCACCCUUUAAUGUUUGAUGUUCUAACGUGGACCCGUAAUCCGGGUUGCGGACAGUGUCUGGUGGGUAGUUUGACUGGGGCGGUCUCCUCCUAAAGAGUAACGGAGGAGCACGAAGGUUGGCUAAUCCUGGUCGGACAUCAGGAGGUUAGUGCAAUGGCAUAAGCCAGCUUGACUGCGAGCGUGACGGCGCGAGCAGGUGCGAAAGCAGGUCAUAGUGAUCCGGUGGUUCUGAAUGGAAGGGCCAUCGCUCAACGGAUAAAAGGUACUCCGGGGAUAACAGGCUGAUACCGCCCAAGAGUUCAUAUCGACGGCGGUGUUUGGCACCUCGAUGUCGGCUCAUCACAUCCUGGGGCUGAAGUAGGUCCCAAGGGUAUGGCUGUUCGCCAUUUAAAGUGGUACGCGAGCUGGGUUUAGAACGUCGUGAGACAGUUCGGUCCCUAUCUGCCGUGGGCGCUGGAGAACUGAGGGGGGCUGCUCCUAGUACGAGAGGACCGGAGUGGACGCAUCACUGGUGUUCGGGUUGUCAUGCCAAUGGCA